GCGAAAGCUCUCUUUAAAGAGGCUGUCGUCUCUCAUCCAAGUCUCUCGCUACAAGAAUUUCUGUAAGUCUGACCUUUAGAGAUUUGUGAGUUCAUUUUGUGAUUAUAAACCAGGUCUACAAAAUGAAUCAUGACACUGCUCAGUGAAGUACUUAAGCUUAAUGUUUUUUCUUUCUCUGACAUGACAGAUCUCUGGGGACACUGGCUACAGGAGUGAAUUGCUUGGACCUUAGACGAUUGUUCCAGAACCUGGCAUCUCUAUCACCUCUACGUGACAUUAUGACAUUUCUGAGAGAGCAGCCGGUGCCACUCCACCCCUCACUGGUAUCUAGUAAACCUACAUUCAAAUUCAGGACCUAAAUUUGACAGAUUACCAGUUUAGUUUAGUUUCAUCUUUAUUCGUAGUGCUUAUUCAUAAUCUUAUUCAUAGUUCACUGAAUUAAUCAAUAAACUUUUGUGCAGACCUACCUGUAAAUUGAGUGCAGAUGUUUUGAAUCCUGAAUAAUGGUUGGAGUAUUGCACAAACACUCUCUUGACUGAAGUUUAUUUUUCUUUUUUUCUGUACUACAGAAAAAAUGUGUAAUUGAGGAACUGUAUGAGUUUGACUUCUUCUCAGAUUUACUUGGAGAUUUGGGUUCUCAGAUUGCCCUGUCACUUCCGCUGAGCACCAUUAAGAAAUUUCCACAAGAUAAGAUGGAUUCCCUGAGGAAAGUUAUAAUACAGGACCCAUAUUACUUCCUACUGCUUCCCAGCACUAAACAAGCUGUCCUGGUGGACAAGAUGGUUCAAAGACUGGUAAAGAAUAUAAUUUUACUGUCUACAGGUCAUGCACAUAUUUUCGGUGUGGAUCUUUCCAGUUACUGAUUUUGACAGGGUUAACAAACCCUGAUUCUAUGUCCAUUUUCUAAAAACCUUUUAAAAGGACUUUAAUUUCAAAGUCUCCAACCCUUAUAUCUUUGAUUUACUCAUCAGAAUAUGCACACUGGCCUGUACACUGAAGAGGAGUUUCGUUCACUAGGUGUCAUGGCUACAUUUGUGACAGAUAAAAUGUUUCAGAAAUUGGAUAGGAGCUUUUUUGUUGAUGGUCUGGAGUUCCUACAAAGAUUCUGCUACAAUGCCAGUAAACGGGACCUGGUGGCAGACAUGCUACAAGAACAGGGGACAUUUGGCCCUGUAAAAAACUGGACUUCAGAGACACUGAACCAAGUGGACCGCUUCUUGUUUUUUCUCCCGAAGGACACUAUUCAGCUCAUCCCCUUAGGUUUGAUGAGCUUAGAGCGCAUUGAGAGGCUGUUCCUGAGUCAGCAGAAGUGGGAGAGGGAAGAGUUUGGCUCUCUGUGUCAGAAACCCUCAGAGCUGUUUGAGAAGAAACAGUUUGUGCUUCAGUUCUUCCUCGGCUUCCUCAGAAUAGGACGUGCCCCUUGUAAGCACAACUCUCUGCCUUGA
ensembl:lncRNA